UACGGGGGGGGCAAGCGUUGUUCGGAAUUACCGGGCGUAAAGGGCGCGUAGGCGGUUCGCUAAGUUGGAUGUGAAAACUCUGGGCUCAACCCAGAGCCUGCAUCCAAAACUGGCGGGCUAGAGUUCUGGAGGGGGUAGCGGAAUUCCUGGUGUAGCGGUGAAAUGCGUAGAUAUCAGGAGGAACACCGGUGGCGAAGGCGGCUACCUGGACAGAAACUGACGCUGAGGCGCGAAAGCUAGGGGAGCAAACAGG
rnacentral:rRNA from 1 species